rnacentral:lncRNA from 1 species
UCUCUCUCACUAGCUUCCACUCUGCCGUGUGGUCUGCUGGUGGCCAGUGGCGGAGGUGAGGUGGCGUGGGCUGCUGACACCCUGCAGGGGAUCUGUCACCAGGGAAGCGUCAGUGUGUGUUCAAGGGCAGGUGUCUAUGCUCGUUAGGCUUUAGCAGAGGUUUUCAUUAAGAUAUAAAGCUUGCGAUCACAUUGAUUCAUCGGCGGGCCCCUUUUUCCCCCCGGAAACUCCCGAUCUCGAGAGACGCUCCUCCUCGCCAGCAUGAUAGUGAGUGGCAUGAUCUUGUAAAUCGCCGAUGCUUACGUCAUCCGAACAUCCCACCCGAAGGACUUAGACCCGAUUCGAGGCGAAGACGACAACCAGUGACUCGGAGAAGAGUGAUGGCUGGCCGUGAGUGACGUCCCCUCAAGUGAGGCUGUCAAAUGAGGGGAAACUUAAGUGAUCUGAUGAUGCGCAGAAUAGAAGGAAAUAUUCCCUUUGUUACAUUUACCUCUCUUUUCUAUGCAACUAUGUACUAUUACUAUUGUUUGUGUAGGACGCUUAACAGUUGACUGGGGUGAACAUACAGAGGGAAGUCUUCACAUUUCGUACUAUUUCAUGUACAAGAAGUGAAUGAAACAGACAAACAGACUGCUGGUUUAUUCUCCUCCUCAAGAAGAAAUCUGUUAUUGGCCUGUUUGCAACAUGCUCAUUAGCUGAAAGUGUGCUGACCACAUAAUUCACCAAAACAAGGAGGAGAAAACCUGGAAUGACUCUCAAGAACGUUGUCGAUGAUGCUGUGUGAAGUUGCAGUUAGAAACCACCGUGUUUUUAACUUCAGGAAAAAAGAAAACGCAUACACACUCACGCAGACGAAGCUUAAGAUCGUUUUUUUUUAUGAUUGUGACGCAAAAUAAUUAAAGUGUCAGGGUGAAAGGGACUUUUUUUGGACAGACAGGUAGAUAGACAGAACGCGUUUUAGGUUAGAUAAAGGAUAGAAGUUGCGAUAGAUAGAGGUGUAAGGCGAGAGACGAUAAUGACAGUGACAGGACAUGUCAGAUGGAUAUGACAAAAGGAAGGAACGUGACAGUAAAGAAAAUAACAAAAAGCGAGUAUAGACAGACAAACGGAAAGGCAAGACAAGUGAAAAACGAACAAACAAACAAAGAAAAGAAGAAAACAGAAAUGAUAAACCGACAUAUAACAGACAAGGAAAAGACAGUAGUCACGAAGAAAAAAAAAAAAAAAAAAAAAAAAACUUUAAAACAAAGUCGAAAAUAUGGGAGGGGGAAAAAGGAGGAAGGGAAAAUAAAAGAAAAUGGAAAUGAAAUGGAAGAAAACAGGCAGACUGAUGCUGGCAGACAAAAUAUCCAGAAACGUAAAAUAACGUGCAGAAAGGAAGAAUAUUUUUUUCCCCUCUUUCUCUUUCUCUCUCUCUCUUUCUCUUUCUCUCUCUCUUUCUUUUCCCUUUUUCCUCCAGUUAUAUGCAGAUGCCAGUUUUAGAUCGUGCAGACCCAGAUAAACAAUUUAUUUAGUGACCAUUUGGCGACGUUACGUUGGUGGGGGGAGGGGAGAGGGGGGGGGGGGGUAGGCCGUAUAACAAGGAAGUGGCGCAGAACCGAAAUGGGUAAAAUAUUUUCCUCUCCCCGUUCAAAGUUGAGUUUCCAACGCUGAAUUACGCCUCACAGUAAAAUGGUCUUAUAGAACUUUCAACAAAGCGCUGAAAUAUAUCGGUUCGAGCGACCAGUAAGUUCAGAUUGUCUGGGAUCCAGGAUAUCAACUGUUAUAACAUUCAUUCUCUAAAAACAAAGGGAGACUCAGUCAGCUUCAUAAAGUGCUGAAAUAAAGACCUUCCUUGGACGAAGGUUCUCGCAAAA